UUCAAAUUUCUGCAGCAGUGGCUGUAAACUACAAGAGCGGGUGCAUCUUUAAGCCAAGUUUUGUAAAUUUACAGCUUCCAGAAUCAUUUUUUUCCCUCCCACGAUUUCAUUUGGGCCACUUUUAAUGACACAAGACUGUGACGGUCAAAGGUGAAGGAGCGACGACUCAGUGCAAGUCGUCAGAGCAAGUUGCAGGUUUGUUUUGCAAUUGGCUGGAAACCAGUGAGUGGCCUACGCCUGCCCAUGGCCAGGAUCAAGCGACUCCCUGCAACCCUCUUGAGUAUCAGAGGAGGAAAGUGUCAAGAGAAAGAAAGCCGAUGGAGAAUUGGCAUCAACCAGAAGAUCAAGUGGGUCAUCUCGUAGUCCUUGACUAAGCGUCGUCCAUCUAGGAUCAGCGCUGCUCCUCCUCCUCAGGAAUCGCAACAUAUCAGAGAACAACAGGAGGGGGCUGAGCUUCAUUUAGUAAUAGCCGAAGACAGCAACACUCAUGUCAGAUUUAAGCUGGGGAUUUUUGAAGAACUACGAAAGCUGUACCACAUACAAACAGGAAGGAUUGCCUCAGGAGCGAUUUGCUCGAGGAUUCAAGGUAAAUAUUAUAUUUUUCGUACCAUGCGUGCAUUUUCAAUGCGCCAUAGUUUCCAUUACAUGUUCACAAUGUCUGACAUUUAUCUGUAGUUAGCCGGCAUCGUAGGAGUGUCUGGUUGUGUGAAAUGU